rnacentral:tRNA from 1 species
UCCCUGGUGGCUCAGACGGUAAAGCGUCUGCCUAUAAUGUGGGAAACCCAGGUUCGAUCCCUGGGUGGGGAA